rnacentral:rRNA from 1 species
GAGUAACGCGUAUCCAACUUCCCCCUUAGUAGAGGACUAGACCCGGCGAAAGUACGGAUUAAUACUCGUAUGUUCUUCAAUGCGGACAUCUAAGUUGAAGCAAAGAUUUAUCGCUAAGGGAUGGGGAUGCGUCUGAUUAGGUUGCAGGCGGGGUAACGCCCACCUGGCCUACGAUCAGUAGGGGUUCUGAGAGGAAGGUCCCCCACACUGGUACUGAGACACGGACCAGACUCCUACGGGAGGCAGCAGUGAGGAAUAUUGGUCAAUGGGCGCGAGCCUGAACCAGCCAAGUAGCGUGCAGGAACCGACUGCCCUAUGGGUUGUAAACUGCUUUUAUCAGGGGAAUAAAGUGAGGCACGCGUGCCUUUUUGUAUGUACCUGAUGAAUAAGGACCGGCUAAUUCCGUGCCAGCAGCCGC